GUCAUUGACGAAGAGGAACCAGUGGAAGCACUGGAUGAAAAUGGAGAGCCUGAUGAAGAGGUAUUGCAUUUGCAGUAUGCAUCUUGUUCUCGUUCAACUUAUAUACUGUUGUGCUUUUAGAAAACUUAUUAUAUGUCUUGAUCACCACGGCAUUGUUCUAUUGAUUAUUAUUAUUGCAGUGCUAUUUUAUUAAUUUCUGAAAUAAGAAAACAAUUUUCCUAUUAGGUAAUGGAAACGGAGGAGAACGUGGAUGAAGCUGUCCAAGUUGAUACCGAUCAACCAGAAGAAACCGUUCUUGUAAAUGGGAAUGAGGGUGAGGAACAGUGGGGUACGAACAAUGAAGGAACUUCGCCAGCCUAAAAGAAUUGUUUGGCAAAUGUAAAAAUCCAAAUUUUGUCUAUGGUGAUUCACUGGCUUUGCCUGCAAAUUCUAGGAUAGCCGAAUCCUUCAAGAGCUGCUUACUUUUGAAAACAAAUCCAGUUACCACAAUAUACACCAUUGCUAUUUAUUAGGAGGUUUCAUACAUAUAUACUCCAACCUGAUCAUUUUUUUUCUUCUUAUUUGCUUCACACGAUUUCUUAUCUGUUCCCAUACAUUUACCUGAAUUUAAUCUCAUGUUUCCUUGCAGUGCUAACCCAACAUGAUGAGUAGGCGCCAAGGGAACCACAGCUCAAUGGUUAAACCUGUUGUUUUUCCGAGGGUAAACAAUUGCAAUGCCAACUUUAUAAUGGAACUUCGGAAUGGGUUGAUGCUUAUAGUAACCAAUGAGCCACCUAUUGCUUCUUGGCCAAAUCCCGCAAAUGAAGUCCAAACUCCAGUGGAAGGAUGAUACUCUAAUGGGAUCAAUCUUGGCAGGCUUGUUUGCAGCAACAUAGGCAAUUCUUUGGUCGUGUACGGCACAUUUUCGUACCCAAUUUUUCAUGUACUAAAUCGAUGGGUUGGGUGCAGAGUUGGUUGUUGAUGGAGAGCUUUUCAAUAAAUCGUUAUACAGAUGUGUAGUAUAUGUGAUAUUACAAUAGCCAUAACAACCUUGUAGGAGAUGAAAAUUUUCUAUAGCCAAUCACUGUAAUUGUGUGUUACCAUUCCAUACAUGUAGCGUUAAUGAUUGUGGCGCAAAAGGCUUGCCAGUGUAUUCUUCCAUAAGGCUUUGCUUGUUUGUGAAUGCAGUAUCUUGUUUUAAUUGCGU
rnacentral:lncRNA from 1 species